rnacentral:rRNA from 1 species
AGAAUUUGAUCUUGGUUCAGGACGAACGCUGGCGGCGUGCUUAACACAUGCAAGUUGAACGGUAUGACAUGGAAGCUUGCUGAAGUGUCAUAUAGUAGCGGACGGGUGAGUAAUGCAUGAGAAGCUGCCAUUGGGAGGGGGACAACAGUUGGAAACGGCUGCUAAUACCCCGUAUGCCGGAGGGUGAAAGGGAGUAAUCCGCCCGAUGAGGUGCUCAUGUCCUAUCAGCUGGUUGGUGGGGUAACGGCCUACCAAGGCGACGACGGGUAGCCGGCCUGAGAGGGUGAACGGCCACACUGGAACUGAGAUACGGUCCAGACUCCUACGGGAGGCAGCAGUGGGGAAUAUUUGGGGCAAUGGGGGCAACCCUGACCCAGCGACGCCGCGUGGGGGAAGACGGCCUUCGGGUUGUAAACCUCUUUUGUACGGGAAGAAGGAAGUGACGGUACUGUACGAAUAAGUCCCGGCUAACUACGUGCCAGCAGCCGC